AGUGAACGCUGGCGGCAGGCCUAACACAUGCAAGUCGAACGGCAGCACAGUGGAGCUUGCUCCAUGGGUGGCGAGUGGCGGACGGGUGAGGAAUACAUCGGAAUCUGCCCAGUCGUGGGGGAUAACAUAGGGAAACUUAUGCUAAUACCGCAUACGACCUACGGGUGAAAGCGGGGGAUCGCAAGACCUCGCGCGAUGGGAUGAGCCGAUGUCCGAUUAGCUAGUUGGCGGGGUAAUGGCCCACCAAGGCGGCGAUCGGUAGCUGGUCUGAGGGGAUAAUCAGCCACACUGGAACUGAGACACGGUCCAGACUCCUACGGGAGGCAGCAGUGGGGAAUAGUGGACAAUGGGCGCAAGCCUGUUCCAGCCAUGCCGCGUGGGUGAAGAAGGCCUUCGGGUUGUAAAGCCCUUUUGUCCGGAAAGAAAAGCCUCGGAUUAAUACCCUGGGGUGAUGACGGUACCGGAAGAAUAAGCACCGGCUAACUUCGUGCCAGCCGCCGCAGUAAGAC
rnacentral:rRNA from 1 species